rnacentral:rRNA from 1 species
GAUGAACGCUGGCGGCGUGCCUAAUACAUGCAAGUCGAGCGAACGGGCGAGAAGCUUGCUUCUCUGAUGUUAGCGGCGGACGGGUGAGUAACACGUGGAUAACCUACCUAUAAGACUGGGAUAACUUCGGGAAACCGGAGCUAAUACCGGAUAAUAUUUUGAACCGCAUGGUUCAAAAGUGAAAGACGGUCUUGCUGUCACUUAUAGAUGGAUCCGCGCUGCAUUAGCUAGUUGGUAAGGUAACGGCUUACCAAGGCAACGAUGCAUAGCCGACCUGAGAGGGUGAUCGGCCACACUGGAACUGAGACACGGUACAGACUCCUACGGGAGGCAGCAGUAGGGAAUCUUCCGCAAUGGGCGAAAGCCUGACGGAGCAACGCCGCGUGAGUGAUGAAGGUCUUCGGAUCGUAAAACUCUGUUAUUAGGGAAGAACAUAUGUGUAAGUAACUGUGCACAUCUUGACGGUACCUAAUCAGAAAGCCACGGCUAACUACGUG